rnacentral:lncRNA from 1 species
UUUGGUGGAGUGAUUGGCCUUCAUGAGAAACUGUCAGAUCUCAAAUAUUUUUGUUAAAGCCAUCUAAUUAGUGAGAUAGGGGCUAACAAAUUGAUUCGGGUGUCAUUUUAAAGCUCUCUUCAAGUUCUAUCUUUUUGUUCAUAACAUUUCUUCCCAAAUUGGGCCAGAAAAAAAUAAUAAAAGACCAAAAACUUAAAUUGGAAAUAGCAAAAAACGUGUGUCCUUCAAUUUUUUUCAUAUUCACACUAAAGAAAGACUAUCAUGUCUACUAGCAUCCCUGCAAGUUUCAGGAUGGGCAUUCCAUAACUUUUUGAGUAAUCAGUCCAAAUGUGUGGUACGUUAGGUCGAAAACCACCAUAUUUGGCACAUUAUACAGUCCUGACCUCAUCUGGAGUUAGCUCCACUUGCCUGCUUGUGUAAAAUAUUACUUCCUUCAUAGUGCAAAAUGCUUUUGGAAUGAUGGUUCCCGAGUCGUCUAGGUCUUCUGGCUUUCAGUACAUGCAAAUCUUUGAGAAAGAGCUUCCAAUACUUGCUCGCGGGAAUCCAGAUUUUAGGAUUCAGUCUUGGUCAAUUUCCUUGAUACAGUAAUAUGGUAGAUGAAGUGCCAGCUCAUUCUUGUAGCUUACCCGACUUGCCUCUGCUUCAAAGUGCAUCAAUAAGUUGAGACUCAGGGCAACAGAGCACCAUUAUUCACUACUCAAGAGAAAUUAUUUUACUGUAGCUCUCCUGAUAUGCUCUUUCUCAAAGAUUUGAAUGUACUGAAAGCCAGAGGACCUAGACGACUGGGGAACUAUCGUUCCUUACACUGACGCUAUCAAACUCUUUGUAGUUCAUACAUUCUUUCCUAUUUGGAAACAAACUAACAAUAUUGAAAAUCUGCACAAAGCUUGAUCACCAUGCUAAAAGUACUUUUGAAGUAUAAAGGAAACAUUGACAGGGCUCAGGAUAAAUAGCCUGGAAUACUUCACAGGGAAACCAGCAACAACAUUUCAGGGUGCAUAGGUAGAAGUUAUUUGUCAACCCUAGGAUCCAGGACAUGCAGGUAUGUCCAAGUGAUUCUGCCAUGAAGCUAAGUUCAUUCGUAUUCUGGAUAUAGGUGCAAAUAGAAAUGAAAUGCAAUGGAAAACUGAGCAAAAAUAAGCUAUUCUAGCCAUUUUUCAUAUAAAUGUGGGAUAACAUACAAAUGAAAACACCCAAAAAAAGCAUUUUGCACUAUGAGGAAGUAAUAUUUUACACAAGCAGGCAAGUGGGGCUGACUCCAGAUAAGGUCAGGACUGUAUAAUGUGCCAAAUAUGGCGAUUUUUGACCUAAUGUACCAUGCAUUUUGACUGAUUACUCAAAAAGUUAUAGAAUGUCCAUCCUGAAACUUGCAGGGAUGCUAGUGGACAUGAUAGUCUUUCUUUAGUGUGAAUAUGAAAAAAAUUGAAGGACACACGUUUUUUGCUAUUUCCAAUUUAAGUUUUUGGUCUUUUAUUAUUUUUUUCUGGCCCAAUUUGGGAAGAAAUGUUAUGACCAAAAAGAUAGAACUUGAAGAGAGCUUUAAAAUGACACCCGAAUCAGCUCUCUAGGUGCCAUACUUCCAGAGAUAUGAACACUUUUGUAAUGCAUGUCAUGCUAAUUAGCCAAAAAUUUGUUAGCCCCUAUCUCACUAAUUAGAUGGCUUUGAAAAAAAAUAUUUGAGAUCUGACAGUUUCUCUUGAAGGCCAAUCACUCCACCAAAUUUAAUCAAAAUCUGUGACGUGAGUGGAGAUUCUUGGUUGAAUUGACAUGGAAUGACCCACAUUCGCCACAGAACCGGCGAAGGUAGCGUUUGUCAUUAACCACCUGACAGGCAGAGCUCGACUAUGGGGAACAGCUGAGUGGGAGAGGCAGUCUCCAGCCUGUGCUUCCUUUGACCUGUUUGCUGCUGAGCUUCGGAAGGUUUUGGGGUUUGAGAAUUCUGGUUCUGAUUCGGCAAGGGGACUGAUGGGACUGAAACAAGGUGAACGAACAGUGGCUGACUAUUCCAUUGAUUUCCGCACCAGAGCCAGCCAAAGCAGUUGCAACAGUGCAGCUCUCUGUGAUGCCUUUCUCCAUGGGUUGGCUGAUUACAUUAAGGAUGAACUGGUUUCACGUGACACCUCCCUCACCUUGGACGGGGUGAUUGAUUUGGCCAUCUGCAUCGAUCUUCAUGUCCAGACUCGUCGACGAGAGAAGCGUCAAGGGGGAACCCAACAUUCUCGUCCACCUCGCUCCCGUGGGGGUGCUGCUGCAGCCAACACCGCCUCAUUGGGUCAGCAGUUUCAGGAUCCAGAGCCCAUGCAGUUGGGCAGCACCUCCCUCUCCUUGGAAGAGAGAGAGCGUUGACGUAAGUCCAAUCUCUGCCUCUAUUGUGGGGCAGCGGGACACUACAUCUCCGGCUGUCCAGCAAAAGCCAGAGCUCUUCAGUAGUUGGGGAGACCCUGGUGAGCUUAACUACCAUGUCACCUCCCCAAAGCCAGUGACCCCUGCUCCAAGGCCGCCUCCUCCUUCCAGAUGGCCCCCACACCUUGGCUAUCUUCAUUGAGUCCGGGGCUGAUGCCAGCAUCAUUGACGAGGAGGUGGUCCUUCAGCUGGGGCUUGAGCGGGUUCCUUUGCCUCACCUGGUUCCUGCUCGAGCCUUAGAUGGACACGUCAUGGGCACCGUCACGCAUCAGACCUCUCCUGUUCACCUGCUACUGUCUGGUAAUCAUCAUGAAACCAUCCAGUUUCACAUCCUGAGCUCUUCCUGCCUGCCACUUAUCCUGGGAUAUCCAUGGCUCUGUCUUCACAAUCCUCACAUCGACUGGGCAACUGGGACCAUCCGGGAGGGAAGUUCCUCCUGUCAUCAGAGGUGCCUGCAGCAAGCCUCAGUUCCGCUUCAUCCCUCCGGGUGUAGCUCCAGUUUGUCACCUGACCUCAGUGGGGUGCCACCCAAGAACCAUGACUUCCGCCAGGUCUUCAGUAAAGCCAGAGCCACCUUUCUGCCUCCACACCACCCCUAUGACUGCGCCAUUGAUCUCCUGCCUGGUUCAUCACCUCCCAAGGGUCGCCUGUACUCCCUGUCUGAACCUGAAAGAAGGGCCAUGGAGACGUACAUAAACGACUCCUUGGCUGCAGGCAUCAUUCGUCCCUCUUCAUCCCCUGCUGGAGCAGGGUUUUUCUUUGUUGAGAAGAAGGACAAGACCUUGCAUAGAUUACAGAGGACUGAAUGAAGAUCACAGUAAAGAACCGUUACCCACUGCCACUCAUCUCCACUGCCUUUGAACUGCUCCAGGGGGCCACCAUUUUCUCUAAACUCAACCUACGCAAUGCCUACCACCUCGUCCGCAUCAGAGAAGGAGAUGAAUGGAAGACAGCAUUCUACACCCCUACCGGACACUACGAGUACCUCGUAAUGCCGUUUGUUCUCACCAAUGCCCCUGCCGUCUUCCAGGCUCUGAUUAAUGCUGUUCUGCGAGACAUGAUCAACCAGUAUGUCUUUGUUUACCUCAUUGAUAUACUCAUCUUCUCCCAGUCCAAAGAGCAACACAUUCAUCAUGUCCAGUCCGUCCUUCAGCACCUCUUGGAGAACUCCCUGUACAUUAAAGCAGAAAAGUACGAGUUCCAUGUUCCUUCAGCAUCUUUUCUGGGGUACAUUGUGGCACAAGGCAACAUCCAGAUGGACCCAGCCAAGGUCUCAGCUGUUACCUCCUGGCCUGUUUCGGAGAACCGCAAGCAGCUUCAGCGCUUCCUGGGGUUCACCAACUUCUACCGUCACUUCAUCCGCAACUACAGCUCAGUAGCAGCCCCUUUCACCACUCUGACCUCCCCCAAAGUGCCCUUUCAGUGGUCUUCUGCAGCUGCAGCGGCCUUCCAGUUCCUCAAGGAUCGGUUCACCUCAUCGCCCAUCCCCCUGAUGCCUGACUCUGAACACCAGUUUGUGGUCGAGGUGGAUGCCUCUGAUGUUGGUGUGGGGGCCAUCUUGUCUCAGCACUCAUGCACUGACCAAAAGCUCCAUCCCUGUGCCUUCUUCUCCCGACGUCUGUCCUCUGCAGAAAGAAACUACGACAUUGGUAACAGCGAGCUCUUGGCAGUAAAGAUGGCCUUAGAAGAGUGGCGCCAUUGGUUGGAGGGCACGAAGGAACCUUUUCUUGUGUGGACUGAUCAAAAGAAUCUGGAGUACACAUGCUCUGCAAAGAGUCUGAACUCUCGCCAGGCCCGCUGGUCCCUGUUCUUUGCCCGUUUUAAUUUCACCCUCUGUUAACGUCCUGGUUCCCGCAAAGUCAAGCCUGAUGCCCUGUCCCGACAGUUCCAGAAGACAGAUGAUUCGGUUGAUGGAGCUGAGACCAUCCUCCCUACAUCCUGCCUCGUAGCCACGUUGACCUGGGACAUUGAGGAGAAGGUGAGGGCAGCCACAGAAGGACAGCCGGGCCCCAGCUCCUGCCCAUCUAACUGCCUUUUUGUUCCACCAGCCUUGAGGUCAGAGGUGUUACAAUGGGCCCACUCCUCCAAGCUCUCUUGCCACCCUGGGAUUCAACGGACACGGCAUGCCCUCCUCCAACAUCUCUGGUGGCCCACCUUGCAAGAGGACGUCCGGGAAUUCGUCAAGGCCUGUCCAACCUGCAGCCAACAUAAGACUUCCUGUCGGCCUCCUGCUGGGCUACUACAACCUCUUCUUGUUCCUCACCGCCCAUGGUCUCACAUAUCUUUGGACUUUGUCACCGGUCUUCCCAUCUCUGAUGGUCACACUGUCAUCCUGACCAUCGUGGACCGCUUCAGCAAGAUGGUCCACUUCGUGCCUCUGCCCAAGCUUCCCACUGCUAAAGAGACUGCACAGUUGGUUCGGCUCCAUGUUUUCCGUCUUCAUGGUCUCCCUGUUGAUGUGGUGUCGGACCGUGGUCCCCAGUUUUCUUCCGUGUUUUGGAGGGAGUUCUGCAGUCUACUGGGUGUUACCGCCAGUCUGUCCUCUGGAUUCCAUCCUCAGACCAAUGGACAGACUGAGCGUAUGAAUCAAGAAAUGGAAACAGCCCUGCGGUGCGUGGCCUCCCAGAACCCCUCUUCCUGGGCGUCAAAACUAUUGUGGGUUGAAUAUGCUCACAACUCCCUCGUCUGCUCUGCUACUAGCCUCUCUCCAUUCCAGUGUGCUUACGGCUAUCAACCACCACUUUUUCCAGCCCAGGAGAAGGAGCUCUCCUGUCCAUCAGUCCAAGCCUUCAUCCGUUGCUGCCGCUGAACAUGGCUCCAGGCUCGAUCCACCCUCCUCCAUUCUGUGGGUCAUUACCUACCUACCAAGCAGGUCAGCAGGUGUGGCUCUCCACCCAAGACUUACCUCUCCGGGUGGAAUCCAAAAAGAUGUCACCAAGGUUCAUUGGGCCUUUCACCAUUCAGAGGGUCAUCAACCCAGUGACAGUCCGGUUGAAACUCCCACGUUCCAUGAGAGUACACCCUACCUUCCAUGUCUCCAAGGUUUAGCCAGUCCACAACAGCACCUUGGUCCCUGCGGCACCACCACCUCCCCCUCCACGAAUGGUCAACGGCGGUCCGGUGUAUGUAGUGCGCCGCCUAAUUCAUUCUCGGCGGCAGUGUAGGGGUCUCCAGUACCUCGUGGACUGGGAGGGUUACGGUCCUGAGGAGAGAUUCUUGGGUUCCUGCUCGCCACAUUUUGGACCCCAACCUCGUGGCCAACUUUCAUCGGCAACAUCCCGACCAGCCAGCCAAUGAGUCAGCUCGUCGAGGAACCUGCACCUUGCCCCCACCUGUCCAGGAGGACUGUUCUGCGGGGGAGAUGUCAGGUGUCAGAGACUGUGGACAAUUCCCUGCUAAUGAGUCCCAGAUUUGCCUGCCCUGUGGUCCUCCGCUAACCUGCUCGCUUGGCACCUGGAAGACCUGGAUUCGAAUCCCACUAUACUCUGCUGCUUCAUUUGGUUUGGUGUCAAAUAAAGACUGUUGUUCGAGUGAACCUGCUUGUUUGUGCUGCAAUUGGGUCCAGUCAAUACCCGUUACAAAGGAGGUCUAUACCCAUGGUUAAAGCUGAUCUGCAAAGCCUGUUUCAUGAAGAAACAGCUUAUGCUCUUUUCCAACUACGUAACAGACAUUUUAAAUAAGGGGAUAAGGCAGGUAAAAUGCUUGCUCACAAAUUAAAGUAAGUGGAGAACAUGCACUUUAUACCAGCUAUUAGUGACAGUAAAGGCACACCUCAUAAUGAUAAUACCUCUCUUAACUUGGCAUUCAAACAAUUUCACUCUAAUCUUUAUACAUCAGAAUAUAAAGCAAAGGAGACCUUAAUGAAUUCUUUAAUGGGCUGGAUCUCCCAGCUCUUAGUGUCAGUGAGAAUGCAGAGAUGGAGUCUCCUACUGCUGUCACAAAUUGAGCAAGCAAUUAGCAAAUUAGCCUCAGGUAAAACCCCUGGUGAAGAUGGCGUCACUAUAGAAUUUUAUAAAAGCUACAGCAAAGUUCUUUCACCUAUCCUUUAAAUGCUCUUUAAUAAUGCAAUUGAAACUGAUUUGAUGACUCCUACUAUGCAAUGAGCCAUCAUUACUGUCUUGCCCAAACCUGGAAAAGACCAUAAAAAGAUGGAAAACUAUAGACCUCUCAGUGUUUUAAAUAAUGAUUCUAAGAUUCUAUUUCAAUGCAUAACUAUAAUUCUAAAUUAAAUUUGUAUGCUGAUGACAUAUUAGUCACUCUAAAUGAGUCAUUAUCUGCCCUGCUUGAACAAGUGGAAAACUUCAGGUACCUCUCAGGUUAUAAGAUAAAUUGGAGUAAGAGUGAGGCAAUGCCCUUGAAUCAACAUACAUUUCAAGUACACGUAGCAGGCACACUCUUUAUUUCGAAAAGCAAAGAUAUGAAAUAUUUGGGCAUAGACAUUAUUUCUGGAUUUCUUUAGUUAUCCACAUUGACAAUUGCUUGAGAGAAAGACGCAGGGAAAAUGCUCAGAUGGCUACCUCCAAACCGAGUGUAACAGCUCCCUCUGUAGGUUUGGCUAGAUCAGCUCCCCAACCAUCCUCUCCGGUUCAGCCUGUGACACCACCCGAGGAGCCCAUGCAGCUGGGACAGACGCAGUUGCAUCCCAAGGAAAGGCAAAGGAGAAUUUCCCAGAAGUUGUGCAUCUUCUGUGGCCAAGCAGGCCAUUUUCUCGCCUCCUGUCCCCUGAAGUUAAACGGUCGAGCUCACCAAUGAAGGAGAGCACCCUGGUGAGCCAAACCUCCACAACCCCCAACUCUCCUAAACGCAUCUCUGUUCCCUCCUGUCUGCUCUGGGGGAAGGAUUCUCUGUCUCUCCAAACCCUCAUUGACUCUGGUGCUGACGACAACUUUAUUCACCAAGACCUGGCUGAUCACCUUGAUCUCCCUAGAGCCCCUUUCCUUUCCAAAGAGGGUUACUGUGUUAGACGGCCGUCUAAUAGCCACCGUCACCUAUCACACUGCUCCUCUAACCCUCAUCAUCUCCUGAAACCACCAAGAAGACAUCCGGCUGUUCCUCAUCCCCUCUCCACACUCCCCCAUAGUACUCGGACUCCCCUUGUUGCAACUCCAUAACCCCCACAUCAACUGGAAGACCUCCAUCAUCAUCGACUGGAGUGUUCACUAACACUCACACUGCCUUCGCUCCGCCAAUCCCUUCUACAACCGAAAGAGGGCAGCACCAGACCAACCAUCCCACUCGGCUGUUUCCCCUGACCACCAUGACCUCCCCACCGUCUUUAGUAAGGAGCUGGCACUUUCCGUCGCCCUUACGACUGUGCCAUUGAUCUCCUCCCCGAUGCUCCCCUUCCCAGUAGCAGACUCUACAACCUGUCCCGUCCAGAGAGGGAAGCGAUUAUCUAUAAUAAUCUAUAAUUAUCUAUAAUAAUAUAUAUGAUAUCUCAGUUAAAAACAAGUAUCCCCUGCCUUUCAUUGAUCCCUCGUUUGGGCCCCUGUGUAGCGCCAGGAUUUUUUCCAAGCUAGACCUUCGGAGCAUGUAUCACCUGGUCUGGAUCAAGGACGGUGAUGAAUGGAAGACAGUGUUUAAUCCUCCUCUAGGCCACUUCGAGUAUUUGGUGAUGCUGUUUGGACUCACUAAUGCUUCAGCCCUCUUCCAAGCCCUCAUGAAUGAUGUCCUCCGAGAUAUGCUAAACAGGUUUGUCUUCGUUUACUUGGAAGAUAUCCUCGGGAGGAACUCUGGACUCCGGACUACCUUGGUGUCUGCACAUUAUUCCAAAAAUAAAACCUGUUAAACCUUACCCCUGUCUGGCUGGUUUUGGGUUCAGACCCACACCCGCCACAGUAUGGUUGGAUAUGGACAUUGCAGUGCUAUGCAGCAGACUUGUCAUUCCUUUUGCCUUGUUUAUUAUGAUAUUGAAAAAUCAAUAAAAUUGUUUAAAAAAAAUAAUAAAUGAAUAAAAACAAACAUAGGGCCAGCAGCUGAUCCCUACCAUGAACAAUGGGAGCCAUUACCACUUGCAGGUGCACAGACGCGAAGAGAAGUUGCAGAAGUUGUGCCAUGAUGUUGGAGGAUGAAAGUGAGAUUGAACGCUUGAGCAGCCUUCAGGCAUGCACUGACAGGGCCCAGUGGAUACUGUCAUGCUCCCAUAACCCCACAUUUUUAACUGU